AAUAUUACAGUUGAACAUGCAGGACGCUUCCGUCUGGUGUUCCUCUGAAUACUGGAAUUAUCCUUCGUUAUAUGAUAGCUUUUUGAGCUAUCUAAUUGUGAUUAGGUUGGCCGAGCCUUCCUCGGGCCUGAUCAUACAUUAGGUAGUAUCAUCGAGUUAGUUCAUUAAUGGUUGGACCUAACCAGGAUCUUCAGUGGAGGCCUCCGCCUACUGAUUACCACUUGGGGCAAAAUUGAUUGCUAGAAAUUGUUUAGAGAAAUAAUUGGUAAUGUACCUACCCUUAGAUGCACAUGGGUUGGCCGAGCCUUCCUUGGGCCCGUAUGCAGUCUAUACGGAUUCUAGUACCCACUAGGGAAUUAAAGUAAUUCCUCGAAUUAAAGGUAGAGGCUAUUAAUUCGAUUAAAAUAGUGGGAGAAAACUUUUGACUAAAGUCCAAGUCUUUAGGAUUAAAUAAAUCAUAUACUGAUUAGUCAGGUUUUUCCUUUAUUUUUCAGAUAUGGCUAACUCAUUGUCCCUCCGAACACUAUUAGACAAUGAUAAGCUUAAUGGACCUAACUUCGAUAGCUGGUAUCGAAAGAUGAAAAUAGUAUUAGAGCAUGAGC
rnacentral:lncRNA from 1 species